ensembl:lncRNA
GCUGAUGAUCAGCCUAACGGUGGUCCUCUUGGCAGAGUGCAGCAAGACGUGGACCUAGGUCUUAUUCUGUGGCCCUCCAGGCCCUUUGGCCUCAGGACCAUCGGGUGAGCUGGGGACCCAGAACAGGCUGAGAGGACUGUCUCACAGAACUCUGGAGCCCCCAUAAACGCCGGAGCCCCCCUCACCACCACCCACCGCCCAGGUCCAGACCUGGAAGCAGCCGGGAACCUCACCCCCAUCCCUGCUCUGGUUCCGGGAGUCCUCAGCAGCUGGAGGAUAUCACAGGACCAUUAAGGAGGUUUCAUCCAGAAGGCGAGAAGAAACAUCCCUCAGAUGCAAAGAACAUCAAGAACUAGCUGGAUGAAGACACUUUGUUGUUGCCCAAUUAAUAGGGUGAAUCCCUAUAACUGACUCAACUGAAGAGCUCCCUGAGGACCAGCUUGAGGAGCUAUCCAUUUCAACGUUGGAGGAAGAGGCUCUGCCCAAAUCCAUAGCAUGUGAACAAGCCAGUGAACACGCUCCCCAGGAGGACAUGGUGGUGGAUCUGCCCCAAGGCUGGGCUGCGGACGAGCCUCUCAGAACUGCGGACCAAUCCAGGAAAGCCUAUGAACACGCUCCCCAGGAGGACCUGGUGUUGGAACUGCCCCAGGCCAGGGCUGAGGAACCGCCUCUCCGACCCCUGGAGGAAUCCAGAGCAGCCUAUGAACACGCUCUCCAGGAGGACCUGGUGGUGAAACCGCGUGAGGCCUGGGCUAAGAAGCAGCCUCAGAGGACCCUGAAGUGUUUUCUUCUCUCUAAUCACAGGCAUAUGGAGCAGCCUAUGAACACGACUUCACUGAGGACCUGCCAGUCAACCCACCAUGUGACAACACAGAAGACAUUGAGUAUUUCUCCAAGGUGGCCCUUUCAGGAUGUGAAACUGGGCUCUGACUCCACAAAGCACAGGGGAGAUCUGAGCCUAGAAGGAAGACCGGGGAGAUGCUGUGUGAGCCAAGUGGAGGAGGAGAAAUGGCCACUCCAGUUGAGUGCUGCCCUCAGACACCAGAUUCGUUCUACAGAAGUCAGUGGUGAUGAUGAGGAAGACUGGAAGAGCAAGAGUGAACAUGGGACCUGGGGUGAAAGGCUCUGCUCUGAAUCCCUGAAGACCUGGACCUGGACCCCAUCCUGGACCCCAGAGGUGGUGGAGCCCCCACAGCACCAGGAGCCUCAUCUGGACCAGAUCAGGGGAGGCCUCAUUGCCUCUCUCCUGAGAGUCCUCAUUUAGUACAGCUUCAGUUGUUUUGCUGCGUUGAUGUAGUAUUAGUUUUAUCUACAGUUUUAUCUUUAUGUUCUGUAUAUAUCUAUAUGUUCCAUAUUUAUAAGUAAGUUUUUUCAUUAAAUGUUUUUAUCUAUUUCAAAAUAACUUUUUGUAAGAACACAUAUGUAUAAAGUAACCCCCUCAACAGAGGUAGAACUUAAGAAAUUGUCAUAAGCCAGUCACCUUAGUGUCCACCACCAGGAUUAUUUCCCCCUUCACGCAACUCAGUCUUUGUUGUUUAAGGAACUGCAAAUUUAGUUCUAACAUCUAUCCUUCUGUCAUUGUCUUUAAGAAUUCUGUUUUCUCACAUCUGCUCAUUCCAGUGGUCAUAGGAGGUCAAUAUUACCCUAGAUCUUUCAAGACUUGCAUGUCAGGAUUUUUCAGAACUCAGUCUGCUUUCAGGGUAAAAAGUUCAUGAUCCAUCAUUGAUCUCCAUUUGUAGCUUAAGCAUGUUUCUCUCUUUUCUUCUAACACAGAGGAUUUCUCUCCAAAAAGGCUCUUUAAAUUUUAGUUGUCAUUCCUUAUAUUUCUCCUGCUCUUUUAUUCCAGCUGCCCAAAGGAUUAUUCUCAUUGACUAUAUUCUCAUGGUGUACAUUUUGUCUCCCAAACUCAUUUAUUUUAUAAGGUAUUUUUGUAAGUAUUAAUCUCUGUCAUGCAGCUCUCUCAUCACCAUAUCCCUCUCCUCUCUGGAAAAAACAUCUUUGUUCUCUGUUUCGAUGACUACAUUACUGUUUGGUUAUUUUGGUUCACUGGUUUUGAUUUUCAGUUUCCACAUUCAAGUGACAUCAUACUGUAUUUGUCACUCUGUCUGACUUAUUUUCCUUAGCAUAAAACCCUCUAGGUCCAUCCAUUUUCUCACAAAUGACAAGAUUUCAUUCUUCUUUUUGGCUGAGUAAUAAUCCAUGCAUACCACAGC